UUUUUUUUUUUUUUAAAUUUGUCGAAACGAUUAGUUUUGUCACUUAUUAUUUUCCCCUUUUCUCUUCAUCUAUUUUCCCGUCUACCCUUUUUCUUUUCUUUUUUUUUUAGGACCGUUAGAUUUAGACUUUUCUUUUGCUACAUGAAUAUGCUCGCACCAAACCCUCGAGACUUAAGUUGUGGAUUAGUACCUCUAUCUGUACACCAUGAUUCGGGGAUGGAGGGAGGGAGGCCGAGAAUGGAGCCAUACUUUUCAUGUGGUAUUCGGUACUUUUGACAUCCACCUCUCUGUUUCUUCUCGUUGAUUCUCCGUGGCACUGCACAUUCUACUUUUGGACCUUUUCAAAAUUAUAAGACCAGGAGUAUUGAUUCUUGAAACAUUUAUGCUCACGGGAAGACAUACAAUAGCUGGACAACAAUAUAAGAGCCAUUCAGGUAUCAACUCCGCCAUGAGCUGCGUCUCUUUAGUUGAUGGAUAUAUGCCGCAUGGGAUUGGCUUAAAAAUCCGAUCGUUAUGCAACCAAACACUUACUUAUUUUUAUGAGUUUUAUUUCUUGGUUGAAAUAGGAAAAUACAAGUCCAAAAUAUGUCAUCCUGCUAACGCUAGCAACUGGGUGGGUUGGUAGAUGUUGCGAUUGUUUGGGAUUUGGUGGUUGACUGAUUGUUUACCAAUUUAUUUUUUAGAUCUUCACAUGGCCAACCUUCCUUUCUUCUUGCGGAAAGCUUGACUUGUCCAUCAAUGUGUUGACUUGUACCAUGUGGAUAUUGAUAAAGGGCUAUCUGUACCAACGGAUGUUGGUGCAAGCGGAAGGAGCUUGUAUCUCUUAGCACGAGGUCUCGGGUUCGAAACCCUUAGUAAUACAAAAGACAACGUUAGGAGAGUUUUCCCUGCAAGGGGUCUGACGCUGCUCGGAUAGAAUUAAUCACAGACCGUAAAACAGCAGAUACGGAUACCUGUGGAUUAUACCCAAAAAAAAAA